rnacentral:misc_RNA from 1 species
AAUGUCGUAGCAAGGUUUCCGUAGGUGAACCUGCGGAAGGAUCAUUAUUGAAUGAACUUGGCGUGGUUGUUGCUGGUCCUCUUGGGGGCCAUGUGCACACCCGUCAUCUUUGAUCUUUCCCACCUGUGCACAUUUUCGUAGGUUCUAAAAGUUUUUUCCCGGAGGCAAUCUCGUUUUCAGAUGGGUUCGCUGUGCAUCACUGUCGGCUUCCCAUUGGAUUUCAGCCUAUGUUUCACAUACACAUAAAUUGUAAUAGAAUUGUCAUAUUGGGCCUUUGUUGCCUAUAAAGCUAUAUACAA